CAAAUCUAUUUCAAAACAAAAUUUAAAUCAAAACUUCUUGCAACUACAGGGCAAGGGUCCCAUGUACUUUCUCCAGGCCAACAGGAAAACUUGCAGUGAUGUUGCAGACCCACCUCUUUCCUCUCCCAAUAAAUAAAUGCAUAAUGUAAUGCUAUAAAAAUGCUAUUUUGCAAGAGAAGUCAAGGUUACCUUGUCCCACAUAGGACCAGUUGAAAGAACUCUGGCUCCGAAAAAAGAUGGAAGGUGCUUUUGAAUCACUUUGCUGUACUGCUGGCUGUGAAAGUGAGAGAACAGCUUCUGCAGAUGAAAGGCCAACAAUGAUAGCACUGGAAUGUGACCUCGGACAUUUAUCAGAAUGACAUUGUCUGUCAGACGAUAUGGCAUUCUUAUUUUUCCGACCACUCUUGGCAUGGAAUCAGGUUUUCCUAGAACUGUGAUUUGUCUUCACUUUGUUCUGGAAAGGUUGGAUAACAGGUACUCCUCCACUUCAGAAUGGUAUUUUAUGACAUGCUGAUUAUGAAGCAUAAGAAGUUACUGCACGGUUCCCUUGAAGUCAAUAACUAUCCACACAACUAGAAAGGGUAUCUUUUUUUGACCCUCUCCACUUAGCAGCCAUCUUAGGAUCCAUAUCUGGUCAUAUUGCAGUGUAACUUACUAGCAAACUGACCUUUUGUAAAGAGCAGUUCUGUCAUGGUUUAAAGAGGAGCUAUGUUGUUAACACAGGGAAAAAAAUAUUGUGGACAAGGAAUGGAAUUAAAAUCAAACUUACCUAAUUUAUAGCUGCAUCCAAAGCUAACCAAAGCCAGUGGGAGUCUUUCCACUGGCUUCAUUAAACUUUGCACAUUUGCCCAAAGAAGUACUAGUAAUACAGCCCAGCCAGGCCCUGGGAGAUGCUCCAACCUCUUGUUCCCGGCUGACCUUCUUUUGCUGCCGUACAGAGCUGCUAGGGUGGUAAUAAUGCUACAUAUAGUACUGAGGGCAGGCUAAACUAAAACCUGAAAUGAAAAAAAUAUUGUAGGAAAACACUCACUGAAAAGGAAAAGCUAAAUGUAAACAGUAAAUUAUAGCAGUAUUAUGGGUUCCUUUGCCUUUAGGCAAGCGCCUACACAUUUAUAAAUAAUGACAUGCAGACAUUAGUUUAGUUUAAGAUGCUUAUUGAUGCUUUGUAGACUAAAGUUUUAAGCAAAACAGAAGGCAAGAGCGGGCAAGUUUCCAAAAUCUGGAUAUAUUCUGAAAUAAAAAAGUAUAUUUAAGCUUUCUCUCCAUGUGUGCACAGUGAAAUAUAUGUGUGGCUAAAAAUUCUACUACUGUACAUUAAAAAAAAAUCCUACUCUAGCACUGCCUGGAAUAAAUGAUAGGAGAAGUGGCAGGGCUCAUGAAGAAAACCAGCCAUGUAAUUCAAUUAAAGACGGAAGUCUGCUUGAAAUGUAGAACUUUUUAAUAAGGAAGUUUCAUGUGUAAAGCUUCACAGUAAACCAUAAACCAUUCUCUGAAACAGCCUGUUAGAUAGGGAUUGUACUUUAUUGAAAUGUAAUAUGAAUUAUCCAUGUAUAUUUAAACUUCUGUUUACUGCCUGACAACAGAUAUUUGUCUGUGUGGGUGAAAGUGAAAGGUGAGGGAGUGAUCUGUAGCUCACCAGGAAGUACUGCACUACAGUAAAUAAACCUUUUGAAUCUUGUGAAGUUAUUUCAAAUUGACUUUUUUUUUAAAUACUGAAAAUACCUUGUAGUCAUUAGCUUAUACAUUGUGAUGACAGAUGCAUAUCUUGAAAGAGCAGCAUAACUGCUGCUCAUUUAGAAACUGCAAAGGUGCAACAUAGUUAAAAGAAACACUUCAUAUGCAGAAAGAAGUGCCUUCAAAUCAGAAAGAAUGAAUGGCAAAAGACAGCUUUUGAGUUGUGCUGAGUUCCACAGGUCAGUCUCGUCUAUGAAUUUUAAAUAACCUUUGAAGGGCACUUGAAAGAAAUGCCAGUUCUGUGAACACCAUGGAGCAAUUGUACAACAAGCUGAUGGACUAAGUUUCUGCUCAACAGGAUUUUCCCUGGGAAUGUGGCAGUUGUUAGAUGUCUUCAUUUCAGCUGUUGUGAAAAUGUACUUGUGCCCAGGCUUUGUUUUCUCCUCAAGUGCUGCUGUUACCAUUCCAGAAAGUUCAAAGUGGUUUUGCAUUCUGUGUGUUCAGGCUCCUCCUUCACCAGCUGAAAUCUGAUAUUUCAGACUCUGGGGUAUACACAAGCAGGAAGGGUGAAGGGAUGCCAACUGCCCUGUUGACAAAUUAGCAGAUGCACAGGACUUUAUUUUCAAUUAAAGAAUACCUUUUUUUUUACGCUAGCACUGAGACUGGAAAGGUAUUGGCAGAAGGUGCAACUCAGAAAAGGUCUCUCUUUAAGUU